rnacentral:rRNA from 1 species
GUGGGGAAUUUUGGACAAUGGGGGCAACCCUGAUCCAGCCAUCCCGCGUGUGCGAUGAAGGCCUUCGGGUUGUAAAGCACUUUUGGCAGGAAAGAAAUCGCACGGGAUAAUACCUCGUGUGGAUGACGGUACCUGCAGAAUAAGCACCGGCUAACUACGUGCCAGCAGCCGCGGUAAUACGUAGGGUGCAAGCGUUAAUCGGAAUUACUGGGCGUAAAGCGUGCGCAGGCGGUUCGGAAAGAAAGAUGUGAAAUCCCAGGGCUUAACCUUGGAACUGCAUUUUUAACUACCGGGCUAGAGUGUGUCAGAGGGGGGUGGAAUUCCGCGUGUAGCAGUGAAAUGCGUAGAUAUGCGGAGGAACACCGAUGGCGAAGGCAGCCCCCUGGGAUAACACUGACGCUCAUGCACGAAAGCGUGGGGAGCAAACAGGAUUAGAAACCCGAGUAGUCC